rnacentral:rRNA from 1 species
GACGAACGCCGGCGGCGCGCCUAACACAUGCAAGUCGAACGAGAGAGGAAGAGCUUGCUUUUCCGAUCGAGUGGCGAACGGGUGAGUAACGCGUGAGGAACCUGCCUCAAAGAGGGGGACAACAGUUGGAAACGACUGCUAAUACCGCAUAAGCCCACGGCUCGGCAUCGAGCAGAGGGAAAAGGAGCAAUCCGCUUUGAGGUGGCCUCGCGUCCGAUUAGCUAGUUGGUGAGGUAACGGCCCACCAAGGCGACGAUCGGUAGCCGGACUGAGAGGUUGAACGGCCACAUUGGGACUGAGACACGGCCCAGACUCCUACGGGAGGCAGCAGUGGGGAAUAUUGCACAAUGGGGGAAACCCUGAUGCAGCGACGCCGCGUGGAGGAAGAAGGUCUUCGGAUUGUAAACUCCUGUUGUUGAGGAAGAUAAUGACGGUACUCAACAAGGAAGUGACGGCUAACUACGUGCCAGCCGCCGCCGUAA